UACGAAGGGGGCUAGCGGUGCUCGGAAUCGCUGGGCGUAAAGGGCGCGUAGGCGGCCAUUCAAGGCGGGGGGGAAAGCCCAGGGCUCAACCCUGGAAUUGCCUUCGAUACUGUUUGGCUAGAGACCGGAAGAGGUUAGUGGAACUGCGAGUGUAGAGGUGAAAUUCGUAGAUAUUCGCAAGAACACCAGUGGCGAAGGCGGCUAACUGGUCCGGUUCUGACGCUGAGGCGCGAAAGCGUGGGGAGCAAACAGG
rnacentral:rRNA from 1 species